rnacentral:lncRNA from 1 species
UUUGGCUCUCUAAUUUCAGAAUUUAUUUACAACACGUCCAGUGUCUCACAUCUAUAGUUAUAGUUCUAAUAAUCUAGACUUUCUUAUUCCUUCCUUGAUUUUUUCUGCAUAAGCUUUACACGUUGAUUUGGACCCUAUCAUAGAAUCAAGAUUAGCAAUAUGCUCUUUUCACCUGGCAAGAAGCUCUGUUAAAUAUCUUGAUGAGAUCCUUCCCUUCGUUGGCUUCUUUAUUUAAAGAGAAUCAGUCCCAGAGUCAUGUCUUCAAAGACUGAACAUCCAAGCUCGUUAUUCUAUAAAAAAAUUAUUAUGUUGAUUAUCCAAAAAGAGGAAUAUAUAUGUAGUAUGAAAAUUGUAAAUGAGUAUAACAUAUAUGUUGGUCCAAAUACAGUAAGAAAAGCUUUUAGAUUUUUAAUUGAAUACAUUAAAGAACUAAAUGCUAGGACUGAAUGCAUGGAUUUUGAUGCCGCACCCGUAUCGAAUUCUUCAAAAAUUAUAUUACUUUUGACGAAUUCGACACACAUUCAUUGACAUUUUUCAAGAAUUCGAGCUACAUAGACUAAAUGAAUAUUAAAUUAUCUUCCUUGAAUAAAACUUUGCAAGAAUUCUAAAUAUUUCAAUUCUUUAGCCAAUCAUUUUGAAAUGGAGAAGAGAAGAAUUUUUUUAAACUCUAUCACCUUUUACCUCAUACGAUCAUACUUAUCUAUUCAUUUUUCAUCCUUGGCAUGAAAUCAAAAUAUUCUUCAACAAAUAUGUCUAACUCAUUAAUGUGCAACUUGACAUUUUAGAAGGGUUAAAACGCUUCUCUUUUCUAGAGAGUAAGUAUGAAGAAGAUCAAAGAUCCAAUUGUACUGCAGUCUUCAUGCCCUUGGCAUAAUAUGACAGUAAUGUUUUACACGUCAUUGAGGAAAAAAAAAAGUUGAGAACAUUUUAACAGAGAACAUAAGGAAAUAUACAUUAUAUAUUUUAUUCACCAUUAUUUUCCCUCUUUCAUAUCUACUUUAAUUUGUUAUACUCGAGUCGAGGGUCUCCAAAACAGCCUCUCGUCCUCCAUGAAUUAAUGAUAAGGUCUACUUACACUCUACUCUCCCCAAACGCCACUAAAUAGUAUUUCAAUAAGUAUGUUGAUGUUGUUAUUAUUGAGAAAAUAAAGACAGGAGAAAUAUGACAAUCUUGAGAGAACACAUCAUCUAGAAUAUAUGGUGUGAGUGUCCUUUUCCAACAUUAUUUUCCAUGUAUUAAGACAGGCCACUGCAAACAGAGUAACUAAGGACUUCUGGAUGAUCAGAUCCAGAAUAAAUUGGCUCUCAGGUGGGGAUGCCAACACAAAAUUCUUCCACACCUCCACCAUGGUAAAAAGGAGGAAAAACAAAAUCUCCUACCUUAAGGACAAUGUAGGGAACCUCAUCACUGAUAGAUGACAUCAUUGACCACAUCUCUACCUUUUACCACCAACUCUACACUACUGACCACACUAGUAGUGCCAUUAUUGGGGCCCCUUAUCAAGAUGACACUAACACUUUCUCCCCCAGCCUGAGGUCCAACCUCAAUAGCCCCCUAAGGGAUACUGAGAUCAUCAAAGCUCUGAAAGGUUUCAAGCCCCUUAAAUACCCUGGACCUGAUGGUCUUCACCCUUCUUCUUUCAAAAAUACUGGGACAUUGUAGGAGAUGCCACUAAGGCUGUCUGUUAUAAGGUAUUUGAUGAAGCUAGGAUCCCGGAAGAGGUCAAUAAGACCCUCUUAUGCCUCAUCCCUAAAUGUCCCAAUGCCUUUUCUAUCAAGAACUUUAGGCCCAUUAACUUAUGCAACACUUCUUAUAAGCUCAUCACCAAAAUUAUUGUUAACUAAAUAAAACCCAUGCUUGGCACUAUUAUAGCCCCUACUCAAUCUAGCUUCCUAGAUAAUAAGAGAAUCUCUGAUAAUGCUAUCAUAUUCCAAGAAUAUGUCUCUCAUUUCAAAAAAAUAUGGGUCAUAAACCACCACGUCAUGAUCCUAAAGAUUGACUUAGAGAAAGCCUUCGAUAGAAUGGAAUAGUCUUUCAUCCACAGCUCUCUCCAGUUCUUCAACUUCCCCACCAAGCUUAUCAAGAUAAUUAUGUCUUAAAAGUCUACUAGUUCUAUCGGGGCAGCACCCCCUCUUUUAAUCCUACCAGAGGUAUCAGGCAGGGAAAUCCUAUAUCACCCUACCUGUUCAUCAUUUACAUGGAAAGACUGUUCAGAGACAUUGACAAUCAGGUGACCUACAAAAAUUGGACUCCUAUCUCUAUUACAGCUAAUGGCCCGAAAAUCUCCAGACCUCACUCUGAUUGCUAAAGCUAAUAGGAACAACUGUAAUGCAAUCUUCUCUACUUUCUUCAAUUCCAAUAGAACCUCCGAACAGCAAAUCAACAAAGCUAAGUCCAGAGUCUUGUUCUCACGCAAUACCUCCAGCCAAAAUACUUUUGAAUGUUCCAAUGCCCUAGGCAUUGAUAGGAGCAUUGAGUUUGGAAAACACCUUGGCUUCCCCAUCUUCCAUAAAGCCUCUAUGAAUGUUGAUUUCCAACUUAUCACUGAUAAUAUAUCCAGAAGACUAGCUGGCUGAAAGUAAAAAAUCCUCAACAUGACUGGCAGAUUUGUUCUUACCAAAGCUACUCUUAGCAGUAUGCCCAUCCAUAUUAUGCAGUACAUCAGGAUCCCUAGCAAAGUCCUUUAAACUAUUGAGAAAAUUGGAAACCCCCGGAUAAGGAAACCUUUAUGCUGAAUAUAAAUGGUGUUGUCCACUCUAACCCAGGCCGAGGGAGGGGAGAUGGAUUAGGGGGGUCAUUAGGAACCACAAAGAAGACUGGGUUGCUGGGUUUAAGGAUUGCACACCCCUAACCACCCUCCUCUAUGCCGAGUUAAAAGCCAUGUUGCAGGGACUGAGAGUAGCUAAGCCCCUCAACAUUAAGCCCUUCCAAUUGUGCUCUGAAUCACUGGAACUUGUCCAUGCAAUGGAACGAGGACAUGAUCUAUACACUAACAUUAUAUGUAAGUGCAGGUAC